UUUUAAUAUUCAUCUUGCCCCUUAUAUCAUUUUCAGUACUUUUAAUGUGCAUGAAAAAAAAAUGAAGCUGUGAAUGUAUGUUUGAAUUCAGCCUUAACUAAUUUUUGUAUCUUACUAUAAUACAUACAAAAUGUAGGCCUCUAGUUUUGUCCUGGACAGGCUUUAGUUUCUGUUACCUUAAGUGAAAAGAGAAACCUCUUCAUGUCAAGUUCCUGGGCCUCUGACAGACUUUCCUCCUCCCUUGUGAGAGGAGCGGUGUUGGCUAUGUAUUUACUGGGCAGCCCACCAGUAAACAUAUGCCCAAGCCUUAGUUUUUGAAGGCUCACUAUGCUUUGUGCUUCCUAUCCUCAGCUCAGGGGUGUGGGAGUUAUGUUACUCAUCUGCUGCAGCUAGCUUGUUUUGUUGGAAAUGAGCAAUACCUUUCUGUCUCUUCCUGACACCCUUUGAAUUGCCAUGGUUCACACUACGCUAAUAUGGUAAGUGUAUACUUUUACUGGAAGUAAUAUCUUUAUAUUAACCCUGAAGCUCAUGUUUUCCUCCUGAAAAAAUGAAAACGCAGCUGUGUUGCCUCUUUUAAUUUUUCAGCAUUUCUGGUGCAAUUUCAGAGUCUUCCAGUUUUUGGCUGAAGACACUGCAAAAAGGAAUCUUGCAGCUCCCCCCAGGAGUACAGUAAUUCUGCCUUGAGGAAAGGCCCCCCUCCCAGGCUUCCCAGUGCCUAAAGUUCUCAUCUUAAAGGUGAUAUAUAUUAAAAACAGGCAGGGAUUGCUUGUUGCUCUGUUUUCUGAAAAUGUGACUGGAUUCAUAUUUAUUUGCCUGGUUUGAAAUUGGAGAGAUAAGAUAACAAAGUUAGGUUAGUUUAUUCUGUUGCAGUAUUUUUCUGGUAAUGUGGUAUUUUCACAUUUUAAGUGGUUUUCCUUCUCCUUUUUUCCCCCUGACUGGAAUACUAGAGAAUGUUUCUUCAUACAUAGGCUUCUGUUCUCCAUGUGCAAGUUGCACGGACACAUGGAAGAGAAGCAGCUACUGUAAAUCUGGUUGGAGAAAACAGCAUUUUCCACAUCUGUAGAAGGCAGAAGGCCCAUGACCUUUGAGUUUAGAAAGCCAGUCUUUUUUCUAUGAGAGAAAGGAUCUCAGGUGAUGACAUGCAGAAUGGUGAAAGGCUUUGAACUGAGCCACCUGAGAGACCAGCUAGAGUUUAAAGAGCUUUGAAACUAUCAAAUCAGAAUGAGAAUUGCCACGUUCUUAUGGUGGAAGCCAAAGCUCUUAACUGGAGUGACUAUCAGAAAAAUAACUAAGGGUGUACACACAGUCAUUUUUUUCUGUUGAAAACAAAAGGCUGAAUUUCACUGAUAAGUUAUAUGUACCUUGAUUGUGCACAGGCAACCGAAGAGGCAACAGAAGAAAGGUGACUGCCUUCCACUGUUGUAAAUCUUUCGCCUUCUAGUACCUGCUCACAUGCUUAGUCAGAUCUGAAUUGAUUUUAUUUUUUGGUGAGGCUGCGUAGAGGUGUAAGUGUUGGCAGGAAUGGGAUCUUACGGCAUUAGCGUGGUUUUUUAAUAACCUUUCAAAUACAGGGUGAGUAGAACUAACACAUACUGAAUCAACAUAGGGUGCUCAACUUGGAAAAGAAUAUGCUGCUGAAAUGACAGCUCAGAGAUGAACCAAAUGUACUUGCCUUUAUUAUUAAGGGUGUAUGGCUUCCUGUGCUUUAAUAUAUUUCUGAUGGUUUAGGGUUUUUUUUAUACAUGAUCUUAAUGUACAGUUUACUGUUCCAAAUACAUUCACACCAAAAUGUUGUUAAUGUUCUGGGCCUUGCAAGGUUUUUCAUUCACAUCGGGUUUAAGGUGUUGUUAUGAGUGUGUUCCUGGUAGAACAGGCCUACUGUAAACGGACUUCUAUUAAUCCCUUGACGUGAACACUGAGGAUAGGGCUGUUUAAUCAAAGCAAGCUUUAAUUCAUGGUGUGAACAUGCAUCUCCUCUUUCUUUUGUUGCUGUUUUUAACAGUUGAUAUGAACCUAAACGUGUGCUAGAAGGAUUUGCUGCUUAGGACAUGACUGAAUUUUCUUGUUUCAAAUGCCAUUGCUAUGCAAUUGACAGAAUCGAGGAACAACAUGGUUCAACUCUGUCUUGUAGUCAGGUUGAGGGUAUGUUUGUAUUUGUGCGUGUGACUCUUCCACUUCACCAAAAAUGGAACUGGACAGCCUGAAACCGCAGAAACUCCUGAAGGAACUGCCGAGUUAAAUAACCCAAGUCCUUUGCUUCUGAUUCUUUUUCAUAUACUGGCUUUACAGCAACAUCUGCAACAUAACUAGCAAUGGAGUAUAAUAGAUGACUCGUGAUGAUGUAAACUGUACGUUUCACAACACCUAAUGCAUUACAUUCAUGCUUGAAGCACUUGCAUGCAGAGCAAGAUUGUCAGUACAUCUGUCUACAAGUAUUUGCAAGUGCAUCUAUGAUAAAGCUAGAUAUGAAAGACAGCCAUAUUUUUUUUUCCAGUUACAGAAUUCAACACCUGAUUAUGAUCUAAUUUUAACUUGUAACUAUUCGGAAUGGAUGAGUAGUAAAUCCCAUGGGUGAGUCUUUCCCAAAGAAUGUGUGUUAAUCUCAACAAGGCUGAGAACUGUCCUUAAAAUGUUUCUCUUCUCUUCACUAGUGGGAUUUUGAUCUAGUGGACAAACUUAGUUUUCAAAGGAUGUCCCUGUUUAAUUCUUCCUGUUUAAGCCAGAAAAAUUCCACUGAACAAAAGCAAACCUUCAUUUCUUAGGCCUAUUUUACAAGUGACAAUCCCAAAGAAGGAAUGUUGUCCUAGUAAUUGUGAAACUUUUGAGUAUAUUAAUGCAUGCAGAGAAAACCUUGUGCCAAAAUACUGUUUCAUUUUUCCCUCUAUUGGAAACUGAAGUGUUACACAAAGCUACUAGUAAGUUAUUCACAAGUAUCGAAACGUUUUGUUCACAAAUGAAGCACUUAGUCCUGUAAGUUAUACAUAUUUUGGAAUAAAGUUAACUUGAAUCA